rnacentral:rRNA from 1 species
GUCUACGGCCAUACCACCCUGAACGCGCCCGAUCUAGUCUGAUCUCGGAAGCUAAGCAGGGUCGGGCCUGGUUAGUACUUGGAUGGGAGAUCCAAAGGGAACAGCCAGUACAAAGGCC